GAUGAACGCUGGCGGCGUGCCUAAUACAUGCAAGUCGAGCGAACAGACGAGGAGCUUGCUCCUCUGACGUUAGCGGCGGACGGGUGAGUAACACGUGGAUAACCUACCUAUAAGACUGGGAUAACUUCGGGAAACCGGAGCUAAUACCGGAUAAUAUAUUGAACCGCAUGGUUCAAUAGUGAAAGACGGUUUUGCUGUCACUUAUAGAUGGAUCCGCGCCGCAUUAGCUAGUUGGUAAGGUAACGGCUUACCAAGGCAACGAUGCGUAGCCGACCUGAGAGGGGGAUCGGCCACACUGGAACUGAGACACGGUCCAGACUCCUACGGGAGGCAGCAGUAGGGAAUCUUCCGCAAUGGGCGAAAGCCUGACGGAGCAACGCCGCGUGAGUGAUGAAGGUCUUCGGAUCGUAAAACUCUGUUAUUAGGGAAGAACAAAUGUGGAAGUAACUAUGCACGUCUUGACGGUACCUAAUCAGAAAGCCACGGCUAACUACGUG
rnacentral:rRNA from 1 species